rnacentral:rRNA from 1 species
UACGUAGGUGGCGAGCGUUGUCCGGAUUUACUGGGCGUAAAGGGAGCGUAGGCGGACUUUUAAGUGAGAUGUGAAAUACCCGGGCUCAACUUGGGUGCUGCAUUUCAAACUGGAAGUCUAGAGUGCAGGAGAGGAGAAUGGAAUUCCUAGUGUAGCGGUGAAAUGCGUAGAGAUUAGGAGGAACACCAGUAGCGAAGGCGGCUCUCUGGACUGUAACUGACGCUGAGGCACGAAAGCGUGGGGAGCAAACAGGAUUAGAUACCCGGGUAGU